rnacentral:rRNA from 1 species
AGCAGUAGCCGCGGGAAUACGGAGGGUGCGAGCGUUAAUCGGAAUUACUGGGCGUAAAGCGUACGCAGGCGGUUUGUUAAGUCAGAUGUGAAAUCCCCGAGCUUAACUCGGGAACUGCAUUUGAAACUGGCAGGCUAGAGUCUCGUAGAGGGGGGUAGAAUUCCAGGUGUAGCGGUGAAAUGCGUAGAGAUCUGGAGGAAUACCGGUGGCGAAGGCGGCCCCCUGGACGAAGACUGACGCUCAGGUACGAAAGCGUGGGGAGCAAACAGGAUUAGAUACCCCGGUAGUCCCUGUCUCUUAUAC